rnacentral:ncRNA from 1 species
UAAAAAACGGUGAACAGAAUAGUACGAUAGUCAGACGGUUAAAGAGAGUUUUCGAUGCUGAGAAGAAAGCACGGUUGCUAUUGGAAUCACAUCUGUGAGUUGAUUUUCUGAAAUUAGUAGGAGAAUCCGGGGAGUCCCGUUACCACGUUGAGUUUGUUAAUAAACUUAUUAAGGUUAAGUUCGCGAGAACUUAACAACGUUGAGGUGGAACCGCGGAUGUCGCCCUCACAGCCCUAGUGGUUGUGGGGGCGUUUUUUAUUAAUAAACUCAAUGAGGUCUUUGCUGUGAAGUAGGGACAAACAGAGGUGGAACCACGAUAAUGCGUCCUCUUG